rnacentral:tRNA from 1 species
GGUGAUAUAGCUCAGCUGGUAGAAUACUUGCCUAGAAUGCUGGAAGUCCUGGGUUCAAUUCCUAGCACCA